UUAGCCCCCUAGAGUUUGGAUCCUGGCUCAGGAUGAACGCUGGCGGCGUGCCUAAUACAUGCAAGUCGAGCGCAAAGAUCAGGAGCUUGCUCCUGUGAUUUGAGCGGCGGACGGGUGAGUAACACGUAGGCAACCUACCCUUGAGAUUGGGAUAACUACCGGAAACGGUAGCUAAUACCGGAUACGACCUUUCCACAUAAGUGGAAUUGUUAAAAGGCGGAUUUAUCUGCCGCUCAUGGAUGGGCCUGCGGUGCAUUAGCUAGUUGGUGAGAUAGUAGCUCACCAAGGCGACGAUGCAUAGCCGACCUGAGAGGGUGAUCGGCCACACUGGGACUGAGACACGGCCCAGACUCCUACGGGAGGCAGCAGUAGGGAAUCUUCCGCAAUGGACGAAAGUCUGACGGAGCAACGCCGCGUGAGUGAUGAAGGGUUUCGGCUCGUAAAACUCUGUUGUUAAGGAAGAAUACUUGAGGUAGUAACUGGCCUUGAGAUGACGGUACUUAACCAGAAAGCCACGGCUAACUACGUGCCAGCAGCCGCGGUAAUACGUAGGUGGCAAGCGUUAUCCGGAAUUAUUGGGCGUAAAGCGCGCGUAGGCGGUAAAAUAAGUCUGAUGUGAAAGCCCCCGGCUCAACCGGGGAGGGUCAUUGGAAACUGUUUUACUUGAGUACAGAAGAGGAGAGUGGAAUUCCAUGUGUAGCGGUGAAAUGCGCAGAGAUAUGGAGGAACACCAGUGGCGAAGGCGGCUCUCUGGUCUGUUACUGACGCUGAGGUGCGAAAGCGUGGGGAUCAAACAGGAUUAGAUACCCUGGUAGUCCACGCCGUAAACGAUGAGUGCUAAGUGUUGGGGGGUUUCCGCCCCUCAGUGCUGCAGCUAACGCAUUAAGCACUC
rnacentral:rRNA from 1 species